UUUUUAGCUCAACCGCUCAGUGUGGUCCUGAGCACAUGGGCUGAAAACAUGUCUGGUAAACGGAAGCAAAUCUCGUUGUCUGUGAAGGCUGAUAUCGUCUCUCACUUUCGAAAGGGAGUCUCCCAGACGAAGCUCAGACGAGACUACGAACUGGUCAACGAUUUCGACAAUCAUCCGUAAUGGCAACAAAAUCAUGGCAGAGUUCGAGGCCCGAAGAUGAUUAUAAACGGCUUCAGGGCGCGGCACAUCCUAAACCAUAGAAGACACUUUUCAUUUGCUGACUAAAUGUUUUCUUCAUGCUGUAUACACAUUUUGU